UACGUAGGGUGCAAGCGUUAAUCGGAAUUACUGGGCGUAAAGGGUGCGUAGGCGGUGCUCUAAGUCGGAUGUGAAAACUCUGGGCUCAACCCAGAGCCUGCAUCCGAAACUGGAGUGCUAGAGUUCUGGAGGGGGUAGCGGAAUUCCUGGUGUAGCGGUGAAAUGCGUAGAUAUCAGGAGGAACACCGGUGGCGAAGGCGGCUACCUGGACAGAAACUGACGCUGAGGCACGAAAGCUAGGGGAGCAAACAGG
rnacentral:rRNA from 1 species